AGCAGGGAGUUAAAGAUGAAUGCCUGCACUUCCUGAUGCAGAAGACAGUGCUGCUGAAAGAAAAACAUUUGGAAAAUCCUGUUAAGAGAGAAAGGAUUAUGAAGCAAUUGGUGAUUUGUUCUGUGAAUGAGCUGCAGUUAAUGGUGCAUAUAAGUGGCAUCCAGCAAUGGUGAAUGAUGUUUUACUGUUUCGCAUGGAAUGUCCCAGUUACAAAACCAAGUUUUGGCAAGAUGAAAUCAGAAUCAGGAACGAAUUCAAGUAGAUUUACUCAGAAACAGACAUUUGAGUCUAAUCUGGAUCCUAGUACAUAUACGGAUAUGAAGAAUGAAGCAGAGGCUCUUCUCAGGAGAGAACUGCUACAGUACGGUGCUCCACAGGACGAGGACUCCUGCAAGCAUUGGGUUAAAUCUGAUAGAGAUACCAAUACUAAACCCAAAGCAUUUACUUUCUAGACCCCUCUCCUACAAAGCGAAAAAUGCAGACUUGCAUGUAAUUAUGAAGUCUUGCUAUAUAGUAACUAGGGAUAGACAGGAGUCAUAAAAAGAUGUCAGAAACAUCCCGUAUGAUCUUGUGGUUCUGUAAAUUCAGGACCCUCAUUUUUGUCAGACACUCGAACUGUCUUUGUUCUAGUUUUAAAACUAAAUAUC